AACGAACGCUGGCGGCAUGCCUAACACAUGCAAGUCGAACGAUGGCUUCGGCCAUAGUGGCGCACGGGUGAGUAACACGUGGGAACCUGCCUUUCGGUUCGGAAUAACGUUUGGAAACGAACGCUAACACCGGAUACGCCCUUCGGGGGAAAGUUUACGCCGAGAGAGGGGCCCGCGUCCGAUUAGGUAGUUGGUGGGGUAACGGCCUACCAAGCCGACGAUCGGUAGCUGGUCUGAGAGGAUGAUCAGCCACACUGGGACUGAGACACGGCCCAGACUCCUACGGGAGGCAGCAGUGGGGAAUAUUGGACAAUGGGCGCAAGCCUGAUCCAGCAAUGCCGCGUGAGUGAUGAAGGCCUUAGGGUUGUAAAGCUCUUUCGCACGCGACGAUGAUGACGGUAGCGUGAGAAGAAGCCCCGGCUAACUGCGUGCCAGCCGCCGCCGUAACAC
rnacentral:rRNA from 1 species